UCUCCUCUCUCUCUUCAGUCCUCUCCCAGCCUCCCACACUUUGCAUCUGCUUCUUCCCUUCUCCUUGAACUCAUCGGAACCACCAGUCCAUCAUACAAUGAUCAUUCUUUCAACAAGUUAAGCCUCAACACCGUGAAGAAGGGGAAGGGGAAAUUUGGAAGAAGAUCUGGGGGAUCAAGGGGAGUCUCAACCGUUUGCCGCCGGCUUGCGUUGGCAACAUGGUGAUGGCUACCAUGAAGAAGAGGAAGUCGGAUCUGAGGAAGAAGGUGCUGCCUCCCUUUUUAACAUUAUUGACUGAAUAUAUGUACACCGUGAAUGGGUUUUAUCCUUUCCCUUGCUUUUUAAUCUCCUUGUUUUGGUUCUUAGUGAUGAAGUGGGUGGAUUCAACUUGAAGGUAUCAAGGAUGGCAGUCAUGAUGCACGCCAAGUUAAACUGGAAGAACCUCAGCCAGAUCGACCUCAUCAAAGACUCUGAAUCUGGUUUCAGUGUUUGAAUCAAUCAUAUAUAGGUCUAUGCAUGCAUAUCAUCUCUAAUCGAAGAUCUCAAACUUCUUCACUGAGUAGGAGGCUGAAACAAUGACAGUGACUAAACCCAAGAAAAUCAUCGUUGACUCCGAUCAUCACUGAACCCAUCCAACUCCAGAAAGAUGAAAUCAAAUGAAUAAGAUCUGGAUGUAAGCCACCCAUCCCCAGAAAGACUCGAUAUUGGACCAGAAGCAAUUAUAAUUAUAAAAAAAAAAAAAAAAAGAAAAAAAAAAAGAAGCAAAAGCAAUUAUAAUAAUGAUUCCUACCCACUAUAUAUAUAUAUAUAUAUAUAUAUAUAACAAGCCACGCACAUAAUUAAUCGAGGGUGUUAAGGGGAAAGCCACCCCUUUACAGAGCACUGACCCUAUUAAAAGUGGCUGAGGUGUGGCUAUGGCUGCUAGACACACACAUCUGUGUCCUUUGGGGUCAUUUUGUCACACAUGUUGUGUGUGGCUUUUGCCCAUAAUUGUAGUAGUGGACUGAUGGGCACCUUUUGGAGGGGAUUAUGAUGAUCAUGCGACAAUUUAUUCACUUUCUUAUUUUUAUGCUUCUAGCUAGAGAGUGCAAUAGAGUUUCACAUGAGCUGACCGGAUUUGCAUUGAAGCAUCAGGUGAUGUACAUGAUGAGAUGAGUUCUCUGAUUGGGUACUGAGGAGUGCUCAGAUAUCUUAUCACCUCUUUUAACAGAUGAUUCUCAUCCUCUUUAUAUACUUAAUCCAUUUUGAUAAA